CUCGACAAUGAUGAGCGAGUGGAGGCAGACAUGGUUGACCACUUGACAUGUGAGAGCCUGAGGAGUUGUUCCCCCUCUGUCCAUGUUCGAGGACUUGCUCUCUGUCUGCCUCCACUCUCUGCCUUCACUGUACCAUGUCUGUUGAGUCUCCUCUAGUCUGGUUGACCACUUGACAUGUGAGAGCCUGAGGAGUUGUUUUCCAGACACAGGUAGAGCUGGCAGGGGCGUCAC